UAACAACGCAUAUCUCGCAACGAAAGUCGAGAUGCGUUGAGUUAAACAAACAUCCCACCUCCCCACGAAGUCGUGAUAACCUCCCUGUAUCCACCUCGGUCCAAAUAUCACGCAACCAACACGCAGCCAAGCAGGAAAAAAAAAGAACCCAAUCUCUUAUCUCCCCACCACCUCUCUCCCCGAUUCACAUCUCCCACCCGAGCUCCACCACAACGCCGCCGCCGCCGCCGCCUCUGAUUCGAGGAAACUCCGGUGCUCCCCUUCACCACGCCUCACCAGCUCGUCCCCCCUCUUGUUCUCUCAUCUGGCCCCGCCCCCAACCCCCACCGCCACGACGUCCUCCACGCCUCUGCACGGCGCGACGGUUCAUUGUCCUAGCUCAUGUGCUCGGCCCAGCAAUCCCACUUCCACACGCGAUCGGCUACCGGCUAGGCUCGAUGGCGCUGUUCCACCUUGGCUACCUCGACUCCGAUGUGACGGUUCAGUAAGGCACCCCUCCCCUCUGCUCUUGCCCUGCCGCUGCUUUGUGGCAUGGCAUCUUGCCAUGGAUAAUUCUUUGCCGGCCAUUACGACAAUGAUUAAUGCUGCCUUAUCACUUGCCUGAUCCGCCUUUGUGGGCGCUGGCUUGCACCGACAGCCACACCACUCCAUGGUUUGUAUUCCUCACUAUUCUCGUAUGUGCACAGAAAUACUGCUACCUAGGGGUAAUUCAGUCAUCUGGGUGUACGCAUACAAGUGAUUCACCACAUGGCUGUAUGUGUUGAUUCAGGAAAAUGUGUGCGUUCUCUUUUUCUAAAUAGUUCUAUCUUGUGAUACAUUAGAUUUUAAUUUUUCAUGUAGCUAUGUGUGUGGAUAAUUAAUUAAUAUAUCCAUGAAGAUGAUUAGGCUGUAAAUUGAAUAAGUUGAUAGUAUCUCUGGAUAUCCUAGCUGUUAGUUUCUGACUAUUUAUAAAAACCAUUCCUUCUAGUAUCAUUUAAUAGGUGACCACUAUUAUGUACAACAUCAUGAUUUUUUUCAAGAAAGAAAACAAAUAUCUUCUUAUCGGUGUUAUGAAACCUUACUGAUUUCCUUGUAAUAAUCUAUGAAUAAGCCCCACAUGCAUCUCUACGUCCUAUUAUUUCUCUUUAUCUUUAUUUCAUAAUCCUUAAUUUCAUCUCUCCUUGCUAGUUCUGAAAUUGACUUCGCAUCAGCCAACAUUUGUCUGUUUAUUCUUUCUCUUAACACGUAAAUCCUCAGGUUCGGAAUGAUGAUACUAGCUAGUGCUUAUGGUAUGACUUAUGAUCCACUGAUUUAGAUAUGUAAAACUUAAAUGUUCUUGCAAGUACUUAUGAAGCGAAUCCAUCAUUCUUUGCAGUGCCAAAAUUUCUUACAUAUUCAUCUUUGGGAGAAAGAUCAAGGCAUAUAGUGGGCUACUUCUGCAAAAGGAGGUACGACAGCAUGAUUCCAGCUGGGUAGUAAACGUGUAGGUGAUUUACAUGACAUUAUCUGCAAUGUAAUUUAAAAACCGAGGUUGAAAAAGUUUGUGUAUUCAUAAUUCAGAUUUGUCUUAUUCCCAAGCAUCUAUAUAAAUUAAAAUCAUGUGAAAACAUACUUGUUAUCAUUUAAUAGAACCACCUGAUUUAGCUUUGUGGGAAUUAUGUUCUCUCAACCUAAAAAGCACGGACACGGGGACGGAAAGACGGGGAUACGCAUACAAGGACACGGGAUACAUUAUUUUUCAAAAACAGUCGUUCGGGGAUACGGUGAGUAUAUAUAAAAUAAAUAAGAAAUAUACAGAGUCAAAACAGAAAAAAACAAUGAAACACUGCUGGGUCUGGAUCCCACAGAGGAUAGUUCGUAUCUACGAACACCAGGGACCAGGCUGUCCUUUGAUCUCACCCACGGACGGGUGGCCCCGGGGGUGGCGCUCCCGGAUGCCAUGCUCCCUAGAAACAAGUAGAAAUCAUUCAAGCGAGCACAACAUGGGGAAGCAAUUAGCAGCCUCUCAAUUGAAGGAAAUCAUGUCACAAAGAUGAAGAGGUUGAGGAGAGGCUGCAGGCCUUGGGGUUACCUGCUCGAGUGUGGUUGCCUCCGGGAGGAGAAGCUGCUGGGGGCGGUGGUCGAGUCCAGGUGGCGGCGGCGCGUUCGCUGCUGGUUAGCAGCAGGUCCUUCGUUAUGUGGCGUGCGUGCGUACGAGAGUUUGUAUUGUGCCAAGGCUAUUAUUGGGCCUCCCGAGUCCCUCAACGUAUCCCAGCCGUAUCGAUGCUUUUUUCUAUUUUUUUUAAUUCAGGAAUCAUGGGAUGCUGCGGGAUACGUGUAUCCCAGCUUAUCCAGGCGUGUCGCCGUAUCCCGCUGUACUAGGACAUCAAAUCGGCAGAUUUUGCCGUAUCCAUGCUUUGUAGCUCUCAACUUCAAGUACUUCUGGAAAUUUGAAAAUCUCUACAUUUAUAUGUAUUGUUUUGAGAACUGCAGAUCUUUCUUUGCAAUCAAGGAUGCUAUAUUUGUCGAUGUACAUAGUUUUUGGCAUGUACCUCACUGUAUCUUCAUUAUAUUCUUUGUAAGGUGUUUAACUCGUUUAACAUAAGGACGCUCUUUUCAAAAGGCCCUCUUUUCUCCGUCUAUAUAGCAUAGUGCUAUGGCUGGGACUGUAAAAAGUGAUCAAAUUAUGAUAUUUCAUAGCUCUUUAGAGGUGAUGAUAUAUGUUGGAUGACGAAACAAGGAUAUUGUUCUGGUGCUUGCUUCGACUUGGGUGUUCAGAGAAGUGAAACUUUAACUAAUCUGUUCAGGGAAGCAACAUAUUGCAUUUAAAGUGAAGCUUCCUCUAUGAUAUGGAGAUGCAAUCAUCCAUCUAAAGACAAGUUCCUGCUUAGCUUGGGAAAUCCAAAGAAGAAUGUUGCCCUUGCUACACUCCAGAGUACUGACCUAUAAUAUAAAACAAAAAACUAUGGGUGUUGACUUGGUACUCCCUCCGGGAGUAACUGUUUCUUGGUUGACAUAACCACUAAAACAAAAUUAUUAGUCAUAUAGUAAGAUUAACUAUCACAUGUCCUCCAACCUUUAUAUGUUGCUCUUUUGUUUAAAUUUUACUUCCCUGUUAAUUGAUUUUCUUUGAUGGUACCUUGCUAUUCUCAUUUCUUUGUUGUUGUAGAUUGCUAAGAUAAAUCGAUGAUGCAUGGCUCAGAAGUUGAUUACAAGAUCGAGAAGGUGGCUACUACUAGAUAGUUUCAGAUUAUGUUUUGGAAUGUAAUUUUUAGGGUCAAUGUUUCAAACACUAUGUGUUUAGAUGGCUGAGUCGUUCAGUGCAAGGUUGAGAAUCAGACUAUUACUAGAUAGUUUCACAUAUUGUAAUCUGUGUAUCAUGUUCUUUGUAAAGCAAUCAAGUUGAUUUAAUAUAUGUGACCUUUCUCAUUGUUA